CGGGAAUGUGUUCCAGUUUCCUGCCUUCCUCACUCUACCCUGAGACACCACAGUUAAAUUGGGUCCUGUGUAUCUGUGUCCAGAAAGGAAAUUGACAAAUUAACUAAAUCUUCAACUCAUUUGUUGUUCGGACUUGAGAAGAAGAGACGUGGGAAGAUCAUAAAAGUGAAAAGUCCAGCUCUCAAAGGCGCAGAACGGCUGAGGGGAAGAUGAAAGAAAUGCUGCUCAAAGGAGAUGCCCAGGUCUAUGGAGCAGAGACGGCCUCGUCUGUCUCUGAAAGCUGUGACGUCUGCUGGGGGUGAAGACUGGAGCAGUUCUUUAAAAGAUCAAGUAGUGAAGAAUCCUCUGGAAGGACUGCC